UACGUAGGGUCCGAGCGUUGUCCGGAAUUAUUGGGCGUAAAGAGCUCGUAGGCGGUCUGUCACGUCGGCUGUGAAAACUCGGGGCUUAACCCCGAGCCUGCUUCUGAUACGGGCAGACUAGAGGUAUGCAGGGGAGAACGGAAUUCCUGGUGUAGCGGUGAAAUGCGCAGAUAUCAGGAGGAACACCGGUGGCGAAGGCGGUUCUCUGGGCAUUACCUGACGCUGAGGAGCGAAAGUGUGGGGAGCGAACAGG
rnacentral:rRNA from 1 species